rnacentral:misc_RNA from 1 species
GAAAUGCGAUACGUAAUGCGAAUUGCAGAAUUCAGUGAAUCAUCAAAUCUUUGAACGCAAAUGGCGCUCGUGGGACAUCCCUACGAGCAUGCCUCUUUGAGUAUCGGUUCUACCUCAUCUCGACAGCGUGCUGCAAAGCAAAGUGCGUCGGAAAAUGAGUUGUCUCAGUUUUAAUCGACUGAGUCACUUUAAAUAUAGAGAUGAACCUUGGAUUUUCCCACUUAAUUGGGAGAUGACGCAAGAUAAUUCACUCGCAAGAGUGUUUAAAAACCUUCGUCGCUCCUGAGGGAAGUGUCCGGUUUUGAUCAAAAACAACUUUUCAGAAUAAGAUCUCAAAUGAAGCAAGAAUACCCGCCGAAUUUAA